UACGUAGGGUCCGAGCGUUGUCCGGAAUUACUGGGCGUAAAGAGCUCGUAGGUGGUUUGUCGCGUUGUUCGUGAAAACUCACAGCUCAACUGUGGGCGUGCGGGCGAUACGGGCAGACUUGAGUACUGCAGGGGAGACUGGAAUUCCUGGUGUAGCGGUGAAAUGCGCAGAUAUCAGGAGGAACACCGGUGGCGAAGGCGGUUCUCUGGGCAUGAUCUGACGCUGAGGAGCGAAAGUGUGGGGAGCGAACGG
rnacentral:rRNA from 1 species